CAAAAAAAUUUUAGGAACAGGGAUCACCAUAAUUUGUUCUAGACACCUCUACAACUUUCCAACCUUUUUUAUUUGUGAAUUUCAAACAAUCAAAUGUGAGACAUUAAACAAUUUUAAAAAAAAGACUUGGGGCCUUUGAGGCAAUUCAUUGUAUCUAGGAGUCAAUUUCAUAUGGCAUCGUUAAUGCACUUUACAUACCUUCUCGUAUAAUUUCUAAAAUUACCAGAAUAAUACAUUCUUAUACAAGUUGAUUGUAAACAAUACUUACGGUUUGCAUUAACGAUUUUACAAUGUAUGCAAAAUUUACAUU